rnacentral:rRNA from 1 species
AGAAUCAACGCUGGCGGCGUGCCUAACACAUGCAAGUCGAACGAGAAAGUGGAGCAAUCCAUGAGUAAAGAGGCGCACGGGUGAGUAACACGUGACUAACCUACCUUCGAGUGGGGAAUAACCUGGGGAAACCCGGGCUAAUACCGCAUAAUACCUACGGGUCAAAGGAGCAAUUCGCUUGAAGAGGGGUCGCGGCAGAUUAGUUAGUUGGCGGGGUAAUGGCCCACCAAGACGAUGAUCUGUA